UCGAACCAACCCGAUAUCUGAAAGAAACCUAGAAAGAGAGAAAGGCGCAAAAUCGGAGGAGGAUUACAAGAUGGUAUUGCCAGACGUUCUAAACGAUCCUGUAUUGGAAGGAAAGAGGAUUAGGGCUACUGCUGAAGAAACAGCUGAAAAUUUGAACAUGUUUGAGGAAUAGGUUAAGCAGAGAAGGAAAAGAUACGAAGAGCAACAGCAACUUAAGAAACUAGAGAAGAAAAAUAGCAAUCUGAAUGUUGAAGUGGAUGCGAAAGAUGAGAACAAACCAAAUAAGAAAUUUACGAGGGACAGGUUCGUGAAAAACUGGACUACUAAGCAUCCAGAGGGGCAAAACAUUGGGAUGUUACUGGCAUGGUAGUGUGGAAAUUUGAAGAAGACAGUCCGAGAGCAUGGGAGAGUGAAAAGUAGUGGAACCCUUUCCAUGGCAGCCCUCAAUCCGCCUUCCAUUUCUUGUUUGAUUUUCUUUUGAGACUGAAGCAAUACCAGAGGGGCAAAACAUUGGGAUGUUACUGGCAUGGUAGUGUGGAAAUUUGAAGAAGACAGUCCGAGAGCAUGGGAGAGUGAAAAGUAGUGGAACCCUUUCCAUGGCAGCCCUCAAUCCGCCUUCCAUUUCUUGUUUGAUUUUCUUUUGAGACUGAAGCAAUACCAGAGGGACUCCAUGGAGAUGGGACAACCUGGUGGUUAACCCUUUUACGCUCUUUAAACCUAUAAAAACUUUAACUUUCGUACUCGUGUCUCAUGGGAUUUGGAAGGAACCAUAAAAAAUGCUCUUAGUCUUAUGUUGCUGUCUGGCGGAGCCAAGAAAUUUUAGCUGUGGGGGACAAUCUACUAAUUAGAGACUUCAUGAUAUUUUUAAUCAGUAAGAAUACCAUUGAAUUAGGAUCAAAUUAUUAUUAAAGGAAAAAAAUCCUCAUUUUGGAAUAA